UGAGUAACCUGCCCUUAACUCUGGGAUAAGCCUGGGAAACUGGGUCUAAUACCGGACAUGACUCCUCAUCGCAUGGUGGGGGGUGGAAAGCUCCGGCGGAGAAGGAUGAGCUCGCGGCCUAUCAGCUAGUUGGUGUGGGUAACGGCCCACCAAGGCGACGACGGGUAGCCGGCCUGAGAGGGUGACCGGCCACACUGGGACUGAGACACGGCCCAGACUCCUACGGGAGGCAG
rnacentral:rRNA from 1 species